UUCAUGAUGGAGUGUGUGUUGGUGUGUCUGAUCUUCGUCUCACUCAGCGGUUUUUGGGGGCAGUACCCUGCCGCCGCCCUGCCGGCCUCUACUGUCCAGGUGAGAGUGGGGGAGAACGCCACCCUGCACUGCCCCCUGCUGGACAACUCUACCUCCACCGCUCCCACCCUGAACGCCUCCUCCACUCUCAGUUGGUACAGGAAGGUGGCAGGACAGAGUCCUGAGCUGCUCCUCACCGUCAGAUCUACAGACCCCUCCAGUGUGACGUAUGGCUCCAGUGUCGGUCCUGGUAAAGCUUUGGCUGGAGCCAACGGCUCUCUGCUGCUGCACAACUCCCAGCACAGCGACACGGCAGUUUAUUACUGUGGGAUCAGUUGGGGAGACCAGCAUAAGAAACCGGUGCCACAGCAAGUCACAGAGAAAUGAUGUGAAUGCUGACAAGGUUUCUGUUGGACUUCACUUCAGUUUGAGUUAUAGCUAGUCUCUGCUUUCUGUUUUUGCUCAUGUUUGUCACCUAAGCUGCGUCCACGUCCCAUCUGAGGUUUCCCAGACCUAGUGUGUCCACAGCAGUGUGAACAGACCAGACCAGAUGUCCUCAGACCAGAUCUGGGCCACCUGUGUAUGUGCACCUUAGCCCGAUUCCUCUCUGACCUCUGACUGUGCGAGCACCGUCAGAACAACAGAAUGACCUGGUUGUUAUUCUUGUGCACACGUGGCUCACAUUUCAGUUACACCUGUGCAUGUGGCAGUUUGAAGCUCAGAGGUGUUCACACCGGAGCCGGGUACGCGUCACUGACACA